CUCCUCACGCUGGCCUCCUCCAUCAAGGUCGUCGAGCUCCCUCUCCUCUGCAACGGCCUCGAGGUCGACACUACCACAGAAUUGUAAGAUUGGUACUGUGUAAUAUGAUGGUGCUUUGAAUUCGAUUUCUGUGAUGAACUAAAGAAUUUUGUAAGUUGAAUUACUUCUCGACUUGCUGCUCAUACAGCGCCUCGCUUCAAAUUCCACACUUCGUCCCGAUUCGGUUCAGGUAUAUGUUCUUGCGAGGUUGGGAGUGGGGUAUCUCCAGUGGUUCGUUGCCUAGGUUUGCUUCUUCAAGCUACGUGUGAGGGAGUUAGAAAUUGAUUCCUUUUUCCUGUCAAAACUGAUUUGUUCUAUGGCUAAAGUGGAAUGUACCAGACUGCUUGGUGCUUGAAAGCGCUUCCCGCGGAUGUUUCAGUAGCUUACCAUGUAGUCCAUAUUUGGCUUGUGGUGGUUUGAUGUUUUACCCGGAUGACCAUCUUUUAGCUGGGGUUGCUUCUUUGUUUAUCUUUGAGAGAUUGAGCUUCAGAUGUAUGCAUUAUUUUGUGUUGGUCUGUUCAUGUAUUGAUAGCAAUACAUGUGUGAUUGCGGCAGCAGUACUUUUCCUUAUUGUGCUCGCUUUUUUUUGGCAGAUUUAGACAGGACUUAAGAGUUUCUUGGUAAUUUUGUGAUUGUUUGAUUCUUCAGGAACACGUGUGUUUGAUUUUUCAAGAACAACUAGAUUGAACAUUAUAAUACUCCCUUCAUGCAUUCCUCUUGCAGAUUUGGUGUUCGUAUUUUUUUUUAUUCUGUAGACAAUCGCUCGUGAUCCAAUUAUUCAACAUAAAAUUGAAUAUAAAUGAAUAGAUUGUGUUAGUCCUACUUAUAUUAACUCAACUGUGUAAGCCUAACAAAAUUAGGCCGUGCAUUAUACCUCCUUGAUGCAUCCUGCUUUGUUGAGUUAUUAUAUUGUUUGAUUAUACCGACCUUAUUGGGGAAAUCCUCUUCAAAAAUAUUUUUAGCUUGCACUGAUGCUCUUGUUUUUUUAACCAUUUACCUUUUUAGAUACCAUGGGGUGAGGAGCAUUGCUUUGACCAUUCUAGAAUACACCAAGGACACAAGGAGUAUGUGCUGGGCUGCUGGUGUUUGCUGGAGCUACACUUGCUUCAUUGCUCCACCCAAGAAGCAUGUGCACACUGCAUACCAGAGAAUGCAGAGUGGUCCAUAAUUUAUUUGCUUGUGUUAGACUCCCUUUGUAUGAAAUGUAAGACUUUUUUGAGUCUCAAUCUAAACCAAACUGAAUACCAGAGAAAUGCACAUUUUGAUAUUGAGUAUAUCAUUUUCUUAUAUUAUACAACUUACCUUGAAGAUGUAAAACAUUCUUUUGGCUGGUAUAUACUCCCUCAAUGUAAAAGCAUAUACGUUCUACUUCAAUUUGUUUUGUAGUAUAU
rnacentral:lncRNA from 1 species